CCCUUCCGUAGGUGAACCUGCGGAAGGAUCAUUAUUU
rnacentral:rRNA from 1 species